rnacentral:lncRNA from 1 species
GCUGCAUAGCCGACCAGAUCAUUAGCCAUCACGCGUGGCCCAAACCAACAUUUCACUACACCACGGCCCGCAUCUCUCCUUUUUGACGCUGGCGCGUGGUCCCGCACCUCAGCCAUGCAUGAGGUCACUAGCAAAUGGGACAGCCCUGCCAACACCUUCAUCCAGCUGUAAUCACAACCAACUCGUGCAACCCAACUCGAUCUAAAUCCACCGUGAUUGCUCGUCGGCGAACCAGGGGCGCCAUGAAGCCACCAUGUCACAUGGACUGAAGCAUGUCUCCACCGUCGCCGGUAAGAACACAUUUAUCUUAUUUGCCUUCUUCGUCUUGUAGUGCAUGUCGGGGUUAGAUUUGGGUCACCAGUAUGUUGGUUUGGCCAAACUCCGGCCAACCUCAAGAUCCCUAGACAUCGAUUGGUUAGACCCGAUCUGAGCCGUCGAUCGAGCGAUGAACGGUGUAGAGCAGAUCGCGACAUUUUAAAUCUCGGUCGUAGGUCAUUGAUCCAAGGAUCGUGAUGGCGUGUCGGUUCAUGGUAUCGAGCGUCUAAUUUAGGUCGUCGAUCGGUUCAGGCGUACCCAUAAAUAGCUACCAUGGCGCUUUUCAUAAAGAGCCCUUGGGGAAAAUGAGAAUUACCCGCCAUCUAGACAGUUUAAGGGCAUGUUUGUUUACCCCCCAGAUUAUAUAAUCUGGAUUAAAUAAUCCUAAGAGGCAAACAAACAGUCUAGCUUAUUUGCCCAGAUUAUAUAAUCUAACCCCUUGGAUUAUGAUAAUCCAUAAGCAAGUGAGGAGGUGCUUAUUUCAGAUUAUUUUUUCCCACUUCCCCACUACCCUUUCAAGUUUCCUAGAAAUUACCCACCAUUGCCAUUAUAAUCUACCGAAUCGUUUUUGCGCCUAUCGGAUCGGAGAAGCCCGCCGCCCAACAGAAACACGCCAAAUAAUCUGGGUAAACAAACAGGACUACUCAGAUUAUAUAAUCCAAAUUAUAUAAUCCAGAUUAUAUAAUCCUCCAAAAAUAAUCCAGAUUAUAUAAUCCAUUGGGGUAAACAAACAGGCCCUAAGAAUCAAUCAAAGUAGGUACUCGAAUUUACACCGAGCACCCUAAGUUCCUCAAUUUUUAUACCAGCCCUCCACCAACGCUUGAUUUUUGUCAAAUUAAAAUCUGAAAAUCCAUUUUUGAUAUUAAAAAAGUCCAAAAACUUGUAAAUCUUGAUCGUUUUAACUCCGAUUUUAGUGGUUCUCGAACCUACGAUUACGUCUCGACCCGUAAAAUAUUAUUAUGUUGUUUGUUUGCAUGUUUGGUGUAAUGUUAUUUGUAUCCAUUAUUUGCUUAUUUGUAUGUAUUGCUACAAAUAAAAGUGAGGUGACGGGAAUUUGAAGACCAACUUUGAGGAGUACCUGUAAUUGCAAGUAAUGGCAAGUUAUGUCCUUGAUCACAUUCUUUGACCUAAUAAUGUUCAUGAUUCCGAUAAUCACUAUGGCACUGUUAGGCUAAAUCUGAUGGGAUCUAAUAGGUUACCUAGUUUUGUUCACCCUACACUUUGCAUACAAAUGAAUUUUUGGGUAGUUCUGCUAUUGCUCUAUCUUGUUUUGGGUGCCAUACUAUAUGUGAAUCAUGAUCAUGCUUAUUACUAUUGUUACCUGUUUAUGAGUUAUUUAUGAUACAUGAUUAGAUCAUUUUGUUAACUGGAACAUGGAGCUUAACCUGAGAUAACAGUGCUACCACAAGAGUGGUAUGGGACGUCCUUGGCCAAUUAAUUAGGAAAUAUGGUAUGUGAGAGCCUUACCCGAAAGGAGCAAGCAGGGAGGAGUUGCGCAAGUAUAGGGAGGUUCUCAGGUCGAUCUGUGUGUGAUAGCUAUUUGGACAAGGGAUUCAUAUAUCCCACUACCUGAAUUCAUAGCGGGUUUUCUCAUACUAGUAGACAUUUGUAUAGGCCUCGUAGUGUACCAUCGCCUACUCACCUUAGGAGUGUUUAAGGGUUCGUACAACCCCGGGCCAAAAGUGAACACGACUUGUGGAUAAAGAUGCACAACAUCUGCAGAGUGUAAAACUGGUAUAUCAGUCAUGCUCACGGUCAUGAGUGACUCAAGACUCUCGCAUGAUUAAAUGAUGGAACUAAAACUUAACUGAACAUGCAUUGCAAUGCAUUUUGUGUAUUUAUUAUUCAUUAUGAUCUCUUAUUUAAUUGGUUGGGUAUUCACUUAUACUUAGUAAUUGCUAAUAAAAUUUGGACCAACUUAAUUAAAAGUGAUGCUCAGCCUUAAUCAUUUUUCUUUGGUAAGCCUUACAAUGCACUUUCCCCACACAUGCUGAGCGAUGACCAUAUGGAAGCUCACCCUUACUAUAAUCACACCAGGUCAAGAACAAGUACGGCUGGAGGAGCAUGAAGGAUGAUGCAAUGAGUCCGGAGAGGUCUAGGUCAUCGUCUCCCAAUCAACUUUGAUGGCGGAGGAUCGUUGUUGCCAUAUGGUGUAAUUUAUUUAGUUAUUUUGUAUAGAACUUGUAUUAAGUAAUAAAAAUUUGAC